rnacentral:misc_RNA from 1 species
AUUAGAGGAAGGAGAAGUCGUAACAAGGUUUCCGUAGGUGAACCUGCGGAAGGAUCAUUGUCGAAACCUACGAAGGUAGACCCGCGAACUCGUUGCUACUAUCGGGCAAGGGCGAGAGAAGCAGGCGCCCGGUCGCCUUCUCCUCGGCCUUUGCCUUUUCGAGAAGGGAGGGAGGAUUUGAGCCCGCCUCUGUCCCUUCCUUCGCGAACAACAGAAACCCACUCCCGGCGCAGCAAGCGCCAAGGAACCCAAAAAUGCAAGAGCCAGCCACUCGGGCGCCCUGCGUCGYGGCGGUGCUCGGUGGUGUGUCCUUGAAAAACAGAAAACGACUCCCGGCAACGGAUAUCUCGGCUCUCGCAUCGAUGAAGAACGUAGCGAAAUGCGAUACUUGGUGUGAAUUGCAGAAUCCCGUGAACCAUCGAGUCUUUGAACGCAAGUUGCGCCCAAAGCCUUCGGGCGGAGGGCACGCCUGCCUGGGCGUCACGCGUUGUCGUCCCUCCUAAACAGCCGAUGCCUCUCUGGAUCCGGGGUCCCGAAGGCACGCUGUGGGAGGGAGAGAUUGGCCUCCCGCGCACUCGGCCUGCGCGGUUGACCGAAAAGUAGGUCCCCCGGGGCGGGCGUCGCGGCAAGUGUUGGUCGGUCGAACCCUUCGCAUUCCGUCGCGCGCGCAACCGCUCUUGGGUAGGAUCUGUUGACCCUGUGUGUAAGCAUCGCGACCCCAGGCCAGGCGGGACUACCCGCUGAGUUUAAGCAU